UUGCUCAGAAUGAGAUGAAAGACAUGAGAUGAAGAUGGAAGAAGAGGGAAGGACAAGGGCUCAGACUUGUCUCUUGACAGCACCAUCAGCUUCCCAACGUCUCUUUUCCUCCCUUUUCUUUUUCUUUUUUUUCUUUUUCA
rnacentral:ribozyme from 1 species